rnacentral:lncRNA from 1 species
GGAGGAAGCAGCAGGUCUCAGGUAGCAGGCCCAGGGAAGUCCGUCAGCAAACGGUCCGUAGAGGAGGAUCGGAAGGCAGGAAGCUCGUGUCGUGGUGAGAGAUCAGUCUCCACGUAGAGAUCCGUCUACACGUUGCGGUGAGAGAGCAGUUGGCAGAGAGCCCCUCAAGUCUGUCGUGGUGAGAGAUAAACCUCUCCCGUUGCCGUGGUUGUGGUGAAGGAUCAGCUUCCAC